AAUCAACGCUGGCGGCGUGCCUAACACAUGCAAGUCGAACGAGAAAGGGACUUCGGUCCUGAGUAUAGUGGCGCACGGGUGAGUAACACGUGAAUAAUCUACCUCCGAGUGGGGAAUAACCAAGAGAAAUCUUGGCUAAUACCGCAUAACACUUACGAGUCAAAGCAGCAAUGCGCUUGGAGAGGAGUUCGCGGCCGAUUAGUUAGUUGGCGGGGUAAUGGCCCACCAAGACGAUGAUCGGUAUCCGGCCUGAGAGGGCGCACGGACACACUGGAACUGAAACACGGUCCAGACUCCUACGGGAGGCAGCAGUGGGGAAUUUUGCGCAAUGGGGGAAACCCUGACGCAGCAACGCCGCGUGGAGGAUGAAGUAUCUUGGUACGUAAACUCCUUUCGAUGGGGAAGAUAAUGACGGUACCCAUAGAAGAAGCCCCGGCUAACUUCGUGC
rnacentral:rRNA from 1 species